rnacentral:rRNA from 1 species
AAGGAAUAUUGCUCAAUGGGAGAAAUCCUGAAGCAGCAACGCCGCGUGGAGGAUGAAGGGUCUAUGACUUGUAAACUCCUGUAAAGAAGGAAAAAAUUCCCAUUUGAUGGGAGAUGAUGGUACUUCUGGAGUAAGCCCCGGCUAACUACGUGCCAGCAGCCGCGGUAAUACGUAGGGGGCAAGCGUUGUCCGGAUUUACUGGGUGUAAAGGGUGCUCAGGCGGAUUUGUAAGUCAGAGGUGAAAUCUUACAGCUUAACUGUGAAACUGCCUUUGAUACUGCAAGCCUAGAGUAUGGAAGAGAGUGAUGGAAUAUCUGGUGUAGCAGUGAAAUGCGUAGAUAUCAGAUAGAACACCAAUGGCGAAGGCAGUCACUUGGUCCAUUACUGACGCUAAAGCACGAAAGCGUGGGUAGCAAACA